rnacentral:ncRNA from 1 species
GAAAGUUAGGGGAUCGAAGAAGAUCAGAUACCGUCGUAGUCUUAACCAUAACUAUGCCGACUAGGGAUCGGACGGUGUUUUUUUUUUUUUUUUUUUUUGACCCGUUCGGCACCUUACACGAAAGUACAAGUUUCUGGGU